GACGAACGCUGGCGGCAUGCCUAAUACAUGCAAGUCGAGCGAACGGAUGAAGUGCUUGCACUUCUGACGUUAGCGGCGAACGGGUGAGUAACACGUAAGGAAUCUACCUAUAAGCGGGGGAUAACAUUCGGAAACGGGUGCUAAUACCGCAUAAUAUCUUCUUCCGCAUGGAAGAAGAUUGAAAGACGGCUCUGCUGUCACUUAUAGAUGACCUUGCGGUGCAUUAGUUAGUUGGUGGGGUAACGGCCUACCAAGACGAUGAUGCAUAGCCGACCGGGAAGGAUGAUCCGCAACAUUGGGAAGACGACACGGCCCAAACGCCUACGGGAGGCAGCAGUAGGGAAUCUUCCACAAUGGGCGAAAGCCUGACGGAGCAAUGCCGCGUGAGUGAAGAAGGCCUUCGGGUCGUAAAACUCUGUUAUAAGAGAAGAACAAAUUGUAGAGUAACUGCUACAGUCUUGACGGUAUCUUAUCAGAAAGCCACGGCUAACUACGUGCCAGCAGCCGCCGUAA
rnacentral:rRNA from 1 species